UCAUCUCCGGGGGUAGAGCACUGUUUCGGCAAGGGGGUCAUCCCGACUUACCAACCCGAUGCAAACUGCGAAUACCGGAGAAUGUUAUCACGGGAGACACACGGCGGGUGCUAACGUCCGUCGUGAAGAGGGAAACAACCCAGACCGCCAGCUAAGGUCCCAAAGUCAUGGUUAAGUGGGAAACGAUGUGGGAAGGCCCAGACAGCCAGGAUGUUGGCUUAGAAGCAGCCAUCAUUUAAAGAAAGCGUAAUAGCUCACUGGUCGAGUCGGCCUGCGCGGAAGAUGUAACGGGGCUAAACCAUGCACCGAAGCUGCGGCAGCGACGCU
rnacentral:rRNA from 1 species